CAUUGUACGUGCGGAUUUAACUUUGCAUAUUUGAUCAUCUAGAAUAUGCCUAAAAAUCACUAAUUUUAACCAAAAUUAAUGCUUUGUCAAACACCAGAAGAAGUGAGAACAUGGAAUCAUUAAUUAUGAGAUUCCCUGGUUUGAAAAAAUACGAAGCUAGAGCUGCCUUAACAAUGUCUAAGAAUAAACUGGAAAAAGCAAUAAUACUUUUGGAACUGUCACACUUUUAUCGCAAAGAAAUAAUAGAAAAACGCUGUCAAACAGGGUAUUUAAAAAAAAUUCACAUUGAGCUGUGUUAUGAUUCCGAAGAACAGGACCCAACUCUUCGUAACGUUGUGUUAGAAACGUCCAUCAACUUUAAGAAAGAAAAUUCUGCCUUAACAACAUAUAAUAAACAAAAUACUACUUGUGCAAUUAAUGUUGAUAAUUCUACUGGGCCCAGAAACCAAAAAGUGGGGGUAGUUAUUACCAAGACAAUGACGG